UCUGAGCUCCACGACCUCCACUGGGCUGGUAAGAGGAAGAGAUCUUUUCUCGGCUGGGAUUCAAGGAGAGAGGUUCUUAACUGUGGCUUUGUAGACUUUCUCCUCUUUCGGCGUCAAGAAGGGGGACGUCUUCGAUGGAGAUUUCACCACCACUUACGUCUGCAAGAACGUCACGGUGGAUGUGAAAGUGGACACGCAAUCGAAGGUGAAGAAGCUCUUACCUCGUGAGAUGUCAAGAUGUUUCCUUUUUCUUGUAGAUCUUCUCCACUGUCAAGGUCGAUGAUCUCGCUCCGGGGACCAGGGCGAUCUUCAACUUCAGUCUUCCGGAUCAGAAAUCUGGAAAGGCAAGCAGAGCAAAGAAUGGAAAACUUGAUCUCUCUCUCUCUCUCUAUCUCACCUCUUCCUUUUUCGCAGAUGGAGCUCCAGUACUGCCACCAGUAUGCCGGAGUUACUGGCAGCGUUGGGCUAGCUUCGUCUCCCGUGGUGGAAUGCACCAGUGCCUUUGGUAGCAACGACGUCG
rnacentral:lncRNA from 1 species